rnacentral:misc_RNA from 1 species
GAUGAAGAACGCAGCGAAAUGCGAUAAGUAAUGUGAAUUGCAGAAUUCAGUGAAUCAUCGAAUCUUUGAACGCACAUUGCGCCCGCCAGUAUUCUGGCGGGCAUGCCUGUCCGAGCGUCAUUUCAACCCCUCAAGCCCUGCUUGGUGUUGGGGCCCCCUACGUGCGCCGUAGGCCCCGAAUUCCAGUGGCGGGCUCGCCGCGAACCCGAGCGUAGUAGCUUUUGCCUCGCUCAGGGCCCGCGGCGGGCGCCUGCCGUGAAAGAACCCACUAUUCUAAAGGUUGACCUCGGAUCAGGUAGGAAUACCCGCUGAACUUAAGCAUAUCAAUAAGCGGAGGA